GUUCCCUUAUAAACAAAGCGAACAGCUGAUCUGGUUUUCAUAUAUACAAGUUCUUUGUCGUUGAGUAUAUGUGUUGAUAUUUCGGGAUAAAUUUUUCUCCAUUGUUCUGUUUGUGUUAAAGUUACAUAUAACUUUUCUCUAAAAUUUGCAAAUAAUACCUAAUAAAAUAGUGGAAAUAUGGAAGUCCUAUCUUUAGCGAAGUAUAAUAAUUCAGAAGACCAACAAUCAGAGUACAAGGAAUUUUAUACACCUGAAGAAACAGCCUUAGUAGAAGCAUUAUCAAAAAUACUAGAGGGUGAACUCAGGAAAGCAAAACGAACCCACCUUUCUGCCGGCGAAGUUCUUCUGCCUAAUGGUUUAACACAUUCUAUAGCCCAGGAUAUGUUUCAAUUAGCAGAUACGGAACCUUGCGGUUUGAGAGGUUGCAUAUUGUAUAUCAAUUUUGAAGCUGAUGAGGUCAAGACGAAAUUGAGUAUGGUCAAAUGUGAUCCAAUGACCCCUUCAACUUUUGAAUUAUACCUCACACUCAAACAGUCGACUGCCGGAUGGAAUUCGUUCUUGCCACAAUUCCUCAAGAAUUUCAAAAUUAUUCUGUUCAAUUGUUGCCAAGUGUAUUAUACGAAUAUAAAAUAAAUAAUCCGAACUAGUGAGGAUGUUGAAGAGGAGUAAAAGAUAUAGUGAUUAGAGGAGGAUAGAAUAUUUUAAAGAAAAAGAGGGAAGAGAUUUGAAAGAAUUGAUAUUGUGACUGAAAAAUGAAAGUGAUAGAGGGAAAAUAACGAGGAGUGGCACAGUAAUGAUCAGCCCGGAGUACGACCUUCACAAAAAACAAUUAUAUAGAUCAAAUAGUGACUGAAGUUUG
rnacentral:misc_RNA from 1 species